AAGCGAAGCAGUGAUGUGAAGCAAAUACGCACCAAAGCCAGUCCCAGUUCGGAUAAGAGGCUGAAACUCGCCUCUUUGAAGUCGGAAUCGCUAGUAAUCGCAGAUCAGCAUGUUGCGGUGAAUACGUUCCCGGGUCUUGUACACACCGCCCGUCAAACCAUGAGAGUCACCAACACCCGAAGUCCGCCUUGGCGGCCUAAGGUGGGGGAGAUGAUUGGGGUUAAGUCGUAACAAGGUAGC
rnacentral:rRNA from 1 species